UACGUAGGGGGCGAGCGUUGUCCGGAUUUAUUGGGCGUAAAGAGCGUGUAGGCGGUCAGGUAGGUCCGUUGUGAAAACUCGAGGCUCAACCUCGAGACGUCGGCGGAAACCCUCUGGCUAGAGUCCGGAAGAGGAGAGUGGAAUUCCUGGUGUAGCGGUGAAAUGCGCAGAUAUCAGGAGGAACACCGGUGGCGAAGGCGGUGGUCUGGGCCGGCACUGACGCUGAGGAGCGAAAGCGUGGGGAGCGAACAGG
rnacentral:rRNA from 1 species